GGCAAUCCAUAGUCAUGUUGUAGUUCUUGAAAUGAACAGAGGGUAUGAGUUUCGUAGAGGUCUCCCACAGCCUUAACUUGCUUUGUCACCCAGGAGCAUAGGGACAGAUUUAAAUUAUGGUAUUCCCAAUAGGUUAUGGGUGUGUUAGCAGUCAACUGGUAUAAGUUUUGGUACAUGUCAGCCAUAUUGCCCCACACCUUGAGAGAGUAAUGAAUAG